ACUCCGGUUGAUCCUGCCGGCGGCCACUGCUAUCAAGUUCCGACUAAGCCAUGCGAGUCAAGGUAUCGUAAGAUGCCGGCAAACUGCUCAGUAACACGUGGAUAAUCUAACCUUGAGUAAGGGAUAACUUCGGGAAACUGAAGGUAAUACCUUAUAAUUGCUUAAAACUGGAAUGUUUUUGCAAUAAAAGUUACGACGCUCAAGGAUGAGUCUGCGACCUAUCAGGUAGUAGGUGGUGUAAUGGACCACCUAGCCUCAGACGGGUACGGGCCCUGGGAGGGGUAGCCCGGAGAUGGACUCUGAGACAUAAGUCCAGGCCCUACGGGGCGCAGCAGGCGCGAACACUGUGCAAUGCGCGAAAGCGCGACACGGGGAGCUUGAGUGUCUUGGCAUAGCCAAGACUUUUCUCAUUCCUAAAAAGCAUGAGGAAUAAGUGCUGGGUAAGACGGGUGCCAGCCGCCGCGGUAACACCCGCAGCACGAGUAGUGGUCACUUUUAUUGAGCCUAAAGCGUUCGUAGCCGGUUUUGUAAAUCUUCAGAUAAAGCCUGAAGCUUAACUCCAGAAAGUCUGAAGAGACUGCAAGACUUGAGAUCGGGUGAGGUUAAACGUACUUUCAGGGUAGGGGUAAAAUCCUGUAAUCCCGGAAGGACGACCAGUGGCGAAAGCGUUUAACUAGAACGAAUCUGACGGUAAGGAACGAAGGCUAGGGUAGCAAACCGGAUUAGAUACCCGGGUAGUCCUAGCUGUAAACAUUGCCCAUUUGAUGUUGCUUUUCCGUUGAGGGAAGGCAGUGUCGGAGCGAAGGUGUUAAAUGGGCCGCUUGGGAAGUAUGGUCGCAAGACUGAAACUUAAAGGAAUUGGCGGGGGAGCACCGCAACGGGAGGAAUGUGCGGUUUAAUUGGAUUCAACGCCGGAAAACUCACCGGGAACGACCUGUGCAUGAGAGUCAACCUGACGAGCUUACUCGAUAGCAGGAGAGGUGGUGCAUGGCCGUCGUCAGCUCGUACCGUAGGGCGUUCACUUAAGUGUGAUAACGAGCGAGACCCACAUCUUUAAUUGCAAAUGUAUAUGAGAAUAUGCAUGCACUUUAGAGAAACCGCCAGCGCUAAGCUGGAGGAAGGAGUGGUCGACGGCAGGUCAGUACGCCCCGAAUUUCCCGGGCUACACGCGCAUUACAAAGAACGGGACAAUACGUUGCAACCUCGAAAGAGGAAGCUAAUCGCGAAACCCGUCCAUAGUUAGGAUUGAGGGCUGUAACUCGCCCUCAUGAAUCUGGAUUCCGUAGUAAUCGCGGGUCAACAACCCGCGGUGAACAUGCCCCUGCUCCUUGCACACACCGCCCGUCAAACCAUCCGAGUUGGUGUUGGAUGAGGUUUAAUUCGAGAGGGUUAAAUCAAAUCUGAUGUCGGUGAGGAGGGUUAAGUCGUAACAAGGUAUCCGUAGGGGAACCUGCGGAUGGAUCACCUCCA
rnacentral:rRNA from 1 species